AACCCCUAGCCUUCCAAGCUAACGAUGCGGGKUCGAUUCCCGCUNCCCGCU
rnacentral:tRNA from 1 species